AGAGUUUGAUCCUGGCUCAGGAUGAACGCCGGCGGUGUGCCUAAUACAUGCAAGUCGUACGCACUGGCCCAACUGAUUAAUGGUGCUUGCACCUGAUUGACGAUGGAUCACCAGUGAGUGGCGGACGGGUGAGUAACACGUAGGUAACCUGCCCCGGAGCGGGGGGUAACAUUUGGAAACAGAUGCUAAUACCGCAUAACAACAAAAGCCACAUGGCUUUUGUUUGAAAGAUGGCUUUGGCUAUCACUCUGGGAUGGACCUGCGGUGCAUUAGCUAGUUGGUAAGGUAACGGCUUACCAAGGCGAUGAUGCAUAGCCGAGUUGAGAGACUGAUCGGCCACAAUGGAACUGAGACACGGUCCAUACUCCUACGGGAGGCAGCAGUAGGGAAUCUUCCACAAUGGGCGCAAGCCUGAUGGAGCAACACCGCGUGAGUGAAGAAGGGUUUCGGCUCGUAAGGCUCUGUUGUUGGAGAAGAACGUGCGUGAGAGUAACUGUUCACGCAGUGACGGUAUCCAACCAGAAAGUCACGGCUAACUACGUGCCAGCAGCCGCGGUAAUACGUAGGUGGCAAGCGUUAUCCGGAUUUAUUGGGCGUAAAGCGAGCGCAGGCGGUUGCUUAGGUCUGAUGUGAAAGCCUUCGGCUUAACCGAAGAAGUGCAUCGGAAACCGGGCGACUUGAGUGCAGAAGAGGACAGUGGAACUCCAUGUGUAGCGGUGGAAUGCGUAGAUAUAUGGAAGAACACCAGUGGCGAAGGCGGCUGUCUGGUCUGCAACUGACGCUGAGGCUCGAAAGCAUGGGUAGCGAACAGGAUUAGAUACCCUGGUAGUCCAUGCCGUAAACGAUGAGUGCUAGGUGUUGGAGGGUUUCCGCCCUCCAGUGCCGGAGCUAACGCAUUAAGCACUCCGCCUGGGGAGUA
rnacentral:rRNA from 1 species